rnacentral:rRNA from 1 species
AGCGAACGCUGGCGGCAGGCUUAACACAUGCAAGUCGAGCGGGCACCUUCGGGUGUCAGCGGCAGACGGGUGAGUAACACGUGGGAACGUACCCUUCGGUUCGGAAUAACGCUGGGAAACUAGCGCUAAUACCGGAUACGCCCUUAUGGGGAAAGGUUUACUGCCGAAGGAUCGGCCCGCGUCUGAUUAGCUAGUUGGUGGGGUAACGGCCUACCAAGGCGACGAGCAGUAGCUGGUCUGAGAGGAUGACCAGCCACACUGGGACUGAGACACGGCCCAGACUCCUACGGGAGGCAGCGGUGGGGAAUAUUGGACAGUGGGCGCAAGCCUGAUCCAGCCAUGCCGCGUGAGUGAUGAAGGCCUUAGGGUUGUAAAGCUCUUUUGUCCGGGACGAUAAUGACGGUACCGGAAGAAUAAGCCCCGGCUAACUUCGUG